AGUAUCCUUGACCAUCUCUGCUUUGCAGUAUCUACUCAUGGAACUCUUUCCACCACUGUGUAAGGAAGCCCUCAUUGGCAGACAGACUAACAUCCUGAGAGCAAUAGUACCAUCCUGGCCCUUCUCUUACCUCUCUUUGGGUGACCCAAUGAAAAUAACCUCACUUGGCUACCUUCCAGGCUGUGCUGGAUAUCAUGGACAUAGUACCUACAGAGAAGGUUCAUCCUAGAAGGCGAAAACUUCAAGUGCUUGACCUGAGAAAUAUGCACCACAACUUCUGAGAUGUUUGUGCAAUUGCAGAAGACGGAGGUUUCUCAGCACAGGCAGAGAGAAAGAAGCAAACAGUCAAGGACCUUCCUAGAUUUACAAUUUCUCCAUGUUCACAUCUAGAAGUGUAUUUGGACUGAUGGCUGCCUUUGAAGGUCAUAAACUACAACAUUCAUCAGUGGUUGAUUGAUGGAUAAAAGAGAAGUCAAGGGCAUUUGCCAGGUAUUUUAAUGUUCUGAGAAGAUGAACUAUACAUGUACAUUGAAAGAAAAGUCACAUUUAGCAACCUGGUGUACAGAAAAUCUCUUCAAAAGAUAGUAAUGAGACAUGAAUCAGCUCUGUGUGACAGUCUUUUGCCCGACUUUCCUUGGGAUGGACAGUGUAAAAGCUGAUACAGUGAGAAGGAAAGAUGGUGUGCUGUGGUGCUUAACCCGGAAAUAAUUGCCUCUUACUUAAAAGUAAAAUCAAAAUAGAUGAUCAGAAGCUGUGUACCUGACAGCUGUUCUUUCUUCUAUUUAUACCUCACUUUACUUCAUGGGGGAUUUUCAGAGACUAGAAUCUGAAAACAGUGAGGACAAAACCAAAUCUUUUGACAGCUUCCUAAAUGAGCUAGUGAAAGUGGAAAUCUGCAGAUCUUGUCAUAAAUCACAAAUGGAAGUCUAUAUGAGUUCCAAGUAUGGUGGUGUUCAACAUAUGGAAAGAUAAGACUGUAUUCAGCAAGUGUUCUUUUCUUGAUCUCCUUCAUGCCAUCUAAUUUACUUAUUGUCUGCUUUACUUGACAUCUCACAUACAUAAAAGGACAAUUAUAGCAACUAGAAUGGAAAAAAACCUCAAGACACAUAAAAGAAGCUUCCUUCCAUGAUGAAAGAUUUUGAUCUUUGAGGAAACUACUAGACAAGAGAUCCACUCAGAGAAAUCUGUUCUUGAUAACAUGGCAGCCAUUUGUUCUCUGAAGAUACAGGUUUCACAUUCUUGUGGCCAGGCAGCUCUAUUGUAGAAAGACAGUGCUGCUGCUGACCAUUGUUGGGAGUUGGACUACAGACUAUCAAGAUUGUAAAGCUCUAAGAUUUUUCACCAGCACCAUGUCUACCUGCAAACCAUCAUGAUUAUGAUGGACUAAACCCCUGAAAGCCAGCCUGUAAGCCAACCCC